UUGCAAAAGAACAGCAUUUCAUAACUACUGCCAAAAAAAUGACAAGACUGGACUUCCCCAUGAACUGAUGUUUUUGUUCUCUAAGAUUUGCAUUCUUCUAUAUAAAGCCACGGGAACUGCUUAGAAGACGGAAACACCUGUGACACCGAAGAGUAGCAAAAUGAAAAACAUUUCCAUUCUGUUUCUGCUGUGCUCCGGAUGUUUUGCUCUGGAAGGU